rnacentral:rRNA from 1 species
CGGGGUGAGUAACGCGUGGGUAACCUACCCUGUACACACGGAUAACAUACCGAAAGGUAUGCUAAUACAGGAUAAUAUAUUUGAGAGGCAUCUCUUGAAUAUCAAAGGUGAGCCAGUACAGGAUGGACCCGCGUCUGAUUAGCUAGUUGGUGAGGUAACGGCUUACCAAGGCGACGAUCAGUAGCCGACCUGAGAGGGUGAUCGGCCACAUUGGAACUGAGACACGGUCCAA